rnacentral:rRNA from 1 species
CGACUGCUAAUACCGGAUAUGCCGAAAGGUGAAAGAUUUAUUGCCUGGAGAUGAGCUCGCGUCUGAUUAGCUAGUUGGUGGGGUAAAAGCCUACCAAGGCAUCGAUCAGUAGCUGGUCUGAGAGGAUGAUCAGCCACACUGGGACUGAGACACGGCCCAGACUCCUACGGGAGGCAGCAGUGGGGAAUUUUCCGCAAUGGGCGAAAGCCUGACGGAGCAAUACCGCGUGAGGGAGGAAAGCUCUUGGGUUGUAAACCUCUUUUCUUAAGGAAGAACACAAUGACGGUACUUAAGGAAUAAGCAUCGGCUAACUCCGUGCCAGCAGCCGCGGUAAUACGGAGGAUGCAAGCGUUAUCCGGAAUGAUUGGGCGUAAAGCGUCCGCAGGUGGUUUUAUAAGUCUGCUGUUAAAGUGUGAGGCUCAACCUCAUAAUGGCGGUGGAAACUAUAAGACUAGAGUACGUUCGGGGCAGAGGGAAUUCCUGGUGUAGCGGUGAAAUGCGUAGAUAUCAGGAAGAACACCGGUGGCGAAAGCGCUCUGCUAGGCCGUAACUGACACUGAGGGACGAAAGCUAGGGGAGCG